rnacentral:misc_RNA from 1 species
AUUAUACCUCCACUUUCGGAUGAUUGAAAGGCAUGAAAGAUGGGGAUCGAAAAAGCGUUAAGAUUAGUGAAAGAUUUGCCACGGGUGGCUCUUAAUAAUAUAAAAAAUUCGCCUAUGGAUCAAAAGAAACCGCAUAAUCUUCGGAGAGGUUGGGGCAAAAACAAAACACAUGGUAGAGGUCACAAGGGUCAAGGCCAGAGGAUGACGUUGCCCAAAUUAGGAUUUGAAACAGGACAUAAACCAUUUUAUCUCAGAGUUCCACAGGAAUAUUACUAUGAAGGACACCAGUAUGUAUAACUAAUCAGAGAGUGUUUGUUCAGAUGACAUUGCAUUUGUUAUGCCAUGCUCACAGUUGGUUUGAUUAAAAAAAAUGUUAUUUCUUUUGUAUAAUGAGUUCUUGAUGAAGAAAAUAGAAAUACUUGUAAACACUUUUAGCUGGAUGUUUUUGAAAGCAAACAAAGUGAAAAGUGACAAAGCUUACUAUGGCAAAGAUAACACUUGUACUGAAGCUACCUCAAAAUAUCUUGAUGAAUUUCUUAAUUCUUUUAGCAAGUAGGGCUUAUAUAGAUUUAUUAGACAAUGAUCCAUAUGUAUAACACUGAAUUCCAUAUAGCCAUUGCAAAAAAUCAUAAUUUUGUUUAGGAUUAUUUUGAAAAUGUGAUGUCGUAACUGUUUAUGUGAAAUUUCUACACAAAAGUUGUUUUGAUUUCUAGCUUAAAGAGACAGUAUCCACCUUUGUCGUUACUGAGGCUGCAGAGAAUGAUCGACAUGGGGUGCCUGGAUCCCAACGAAGUGAUUGACAUUUCCUCCAUCUGUAUGACUGGUCACUAUCACCUCCACGUGGAUCGACGCCAUUAUGGAAUCAAUCUCACUGAGGAGGGUGCAGAGAAAUUUUCAACCCCCAUUUGCAUUGAAGUACAAUGGGCCUCAGAAAUGACCAUUGCCACAAUAGAGAGAUUAGGAGGCGUGAUCAUGACGAGAUUUUAUGACCCCCUCAGCCUCAUUGCCCUACAAGAUCCUGAGACAUACUUCAAGACAGGAAAACCAAUUCCCAAGUGUAAACUUCCUCCCACAGAUGCAGUAGAAUAUUACAGUGACCCCAAGUUCCGAGGGUACCUUGCAGAUCCAGAGAAAAUAGCCGAGGAAAGAGUGGCGUUAUCCCAGAAAUACGGCUAUGAUCUACCAGACUUAUCAGAAAGUGACAAAUUAUCAUUGUUAUUAAAGAGGAAGGACCCAAGACAAAUAUUCUUUGGACUUCAUCCUGGAUGGAUUGUAAAUUUAACGGAAAAGAAAAUUCUGAAACCUAAGGCUGAAUAUUUACAAGAAUAUUACCACUCAUGAGAUUUGAUAUGAAUAAAUUUU